AGAACGAACGCUGGCGGCAGGCUUAACACAUGCAAGUCGAGCGCCUCGCAAGAGGAGCGGCAGACGGGUGAGUAACGCGUGGGAACAUACCCUUCGGUUCGGAAUAAUUCAGGGAAACUUGGACUAAUACCGGAUACGGACGAGAGUCGAAAGAUUUAUCGCCGAAGGAUUGGCCCGCGUUCGAUUAGCUAGUUGGUGUGGUAACGGCGCACCAAGGCGACGAUCGAUAGCUGGUCUGAGAGGAUGAUCAGCCACACGGGGACUGAGAGACGGCCCCGACUCCUACGGGAGGCAGCAGCAAGGAAUUUUCCGCAAUGGGGGCAACCCUGACGGAGCAACGCCGCGUGACGGAUGACGCCUCUUGGGUGUAACGUCUUUUGCCGAGGGAGAGAAUGGACGGUACUCGGCGAAGUAGGACCGGCUAACGUACGUGCCAGCAGCCGC
rnacentral:rRNA from 1 species